AAACAGUUUUUAUCAAAACUACAGAUCAUUGUGGAAUAAUCUCAGUUCUUUGGCGCAAUCAUCAUGCCUAUUACCGUAAUGGGGUGUUAAAUGAGGAUGGGGAUGGAGUGUACUCUGUGGAGGCGUCUAAAAACGAGUAUCUAGUGAAAUGUUCUGUUGUCAUUGAUGAAGAAUCUUUGAAGACGCUAUACGGCGAAUUAUGGCCAGAUUUAACGACACUGGUAGCAUUUCUAAGUGAAAACCGACGGGGAGACCUCAAGUUAGUGAAGACGUUGUUGAAGAUUUAAGGAUGAGAAUGGAACAAAGUCCGAAUAAAGCUUUGUCAAAAAUCUUUACUGUCCGGAGUACCAUACAGCCCAUGUCAGAAAAUCGUAAAAGAGAAGUUACAUAUGCAUCCAUACAAGAUUUUGUUGGUUCAGGAGCUGCAACCAGCUGAUUUUCCUUGCCGCGUUGGGUAUUGUAGUUGGUUUCAAGCUGAUAUGGACGAUAACGGGAUUCUCGAUUUGUCGUUCUUUUCUGAUGAAGCCUGGUUUCAUCUGUUAGGCUAUUAUGUCAACUGACAGAACUUCAGAAUUUGGUGUAUAGAAAAUACUCACGCUUUUGAAGAAACACCAUCACACGCAAUGAAGGUUGGUGUGUGGUUAGCUGUUUCCAGACGACGAUUCAUAGGCCUGAUACUUUUUCAAGUAAAUGAAUGUGAUCAAUAAACAAAAUUAGAUGUAGAAAGUGUAUGUAGGUACUGCAAUAAAGUUUUUUAUUUUCAGUAA